GUCUCUGUGGCGCAAUUGGUUAGCGCGUUUGGCUAUUAGCCGAAAGGUUGGUGGUUCGAGCCCCCUCAGAGGCG